AAUGAACGCUGGCGGCAUGCCUAACACAUGCAAGUCGAACGAAGGCUUCGGCCUUAGUGGCGCACGGGUGCGUAACGCGUGGGAAUCUGCCCUUGGGUUCGGAAUAACAGUUAGAAAUGACUGCUAAUACCGGAUGAUGUCGUAAGACCAAAGAUGUAUCGCCCAAGGAUGAGGCCGCGUAGGAUUAGCUAGUUGGUGAGGUAAAGGCCCACCAAGGCGACGUUCCUUAGCUGGUCUGAGAGGAUGAUCAGCCACACUGGGACUGAGACACGGCCCAGACUCCUACGGAAGGCGGCAGUGGGGAACAUGGGACGCUGGGCGAGAGCCUGAUCCAGCCAUGCCGCGUAGGUGAUGAAGGCGUUAGGGUUGUAAAGCUGUUUGGACCGGGAUGAUAGUGACGGUACCGGGAGAAUAAGCGCCGGCUAACUUCGUG
rnacentral:rRNA from 1 species